UGAGGAACAUGACCUUCGGCGGGGGAUAGCCAGCCCAACGGCCGGGUAAUACCGCGUACGACCUUUCGGGGACAUCCCCGGAUGGUGAAAGCAGCAAUGCGCCGAUGGAGUGCCUCGCGGCCUAUCAGCUAGUUGGUGAGGUAACGCUCACCAAGGCGACGACGGGUAGCUGAUCUGAGAGGAUGGCCAGCCACAGUUGGGACUGAGACCACCGGCCCAGACCUCCGUAGGG
rnacentral:rRNA from 1 species